rnacentral:misc_RNA from 1 species
GAUGAAGAACGUAGCGAAAUGCGAUACGUAAUGUGAAUUGCAGAUUUCAGUGAAUCAUCGAAUCUUUGAACGCACAUUGCGCCCCUUGGUAUUCCGAGGGGCAUGCCUGUUCGAGCGUCAUUUCAACCCUCAAGCUCUGCUUGGUCUUGGGCCUGGCCGUGAUGGCCGGUCUUAAAAUCAGUGGCGGUGCCGUCGCAGGCUCCAAGCGUAGUACAUCUCUCGCUCUGGAAACUUGGCGGUGCCUGCCAGACAACCCCUAAUUGUCUCUUUCGGUUGACCUCGGAUCAGGUAGGGAUACCCGCUGAACUUAAGCAUAUCAAUAAGCGGAGGA